AUGCGGUUUGCGGUGACAAAAGUGUGCGCUAGUGGAGCAAAGGCUCGCGCGGGGUUGCUCCAGAUUGGAAGCAGCGGUGUUGAGACGCCAGCGCUGCUUUUGUCCACACGCAAGGGGCUGCCGGCGUUUAUGUCUCCUGACCUGCUUUCCUCCCUCCCCCUUCCAGACUCCCUCCUCCUCAAUGUCUGCCCAACCCACUUUAUAGAGGUUCCUCCAUCAAAAACCAUAUCUAAUAUUGGUGGUUUGCAUCGUAUGCUGGGUCUGCCUGAUCAUAUCCUCGUAGCCGCGGCUGGUGAGUCUACCGAGUGUUUACCAUCAAGUGACGCCACCAAUAAAUUUGGUGCAUCUUUUGAAACACCUGCGGGUCGUAAACUGGUCAAACCAUCAGACUAUAUGGAGUUGAUUUCCUGCUUGCAACCUAAUUUGUGGGCAAGCUUGGCAGAUGAGGUUCCAGCCUGGGUUAAUGAGAAACGGAACAAAACAUCUGUUGAGCGAACACUACGCUGGCUUGACGCAUGUAUUGCUUUGGAUGCGGCUUCUGGGAGAAACUCUUUAGGUGUAGUUGUUGGGGGGUCUAGUAUAGAACAACGAAAACUGUGUGCCACUGAAGUAUCGAAGAGGAAUGUAUCAGGCUUUUGGAUUGGAGGGUUUGGCCUUGGAGAGAGUGUGGAAGAACGUUGCAGUUUACUCAAUGCAGUAACAGAUUGUUUGCCAUUGGGGAAACCUCGUAUUGUCUCUAGGCUUGGGCUUCCAGAGGAGGUCUUGGAGGGUGUAGUCGAUGGCUGUACCUGCUUCACGUGCCAGAAUCACACCCGUGCUUACCUCAAUCAUCUGAUCAAUGUCCACGAGAUGCUGGCUCAGAUUCUACUGGAGAUACAUAACACGCAUCACUAUCUCCGGUUCUUCCGGUCGAUACGGGAGGCGAUCAAGGCCGGAGAGUUCGACAUCUUCUGGAAGCAGUUUGUUGAGAACAGGCGCUCCCAGAUUGCUGCUGCUGCGAUGUAG
rnacentral:rRNA from 1 species